rnacentral:lncRNA from 1 species
GGGGCUGUGGAAGAUGAUACUACAAGAAUCCUCUCCUCUGAUGAUUUUGAAUCCGUAUGGCGGAAUGAUGAGCAGGAUUUCCGAAAGCGCAAUAGCUUUUCCUCACAGAAAUGUUCUCUUCAAAAUUCAGUACGUGACUUUAUGGCAAGCUGGAGAUAACGAGGCACAGCAUAUGGAUUGGAUUAGGAAGCUUUACAAUUACAUGGGUUCUUAUGUCACAAAGUUUCCAAGGCAGGCAUAUGUGAAUUAUAGGGAUCUUGAUUUGGGGACUAACAAGAAGAGUAGCUCAAGUUUCAUUAAAGCAAGUUCUUGGGGUUACAGGUAUUUCAAGGACAAUUUUAAUAGACUGGUUAAAAUAAAGACCAAAGCCGAUCCUCAAAACUUCUUCCGGCAUGAGCAGAGCAUCCCGCCUCUUCCACGAGGCCGUUACUAGAGAUCGCUAGGAGCUAUAGAUUGUUUUUUGCAGGAGGUUAAGGCUUCGGCCGGUUUGAUUAGUGUGUUUUGUUUAAGCUUACUGUUUAACCAAUUUUAUACAAUGAAAUAAAAUAGUUUAAAGAAUAAUAAUCUGCUUUGCUUAAUUUUUUUUUUUGUCAAAAAAAGAAAAAAACUUUUGAGUUUUGCUUAAUUGAUUCCAAGGGUUGUAACAACUUUUGAUCUUUCCUUUUCAGACUGAUCAUUAAUGAAGAAAUGGGAAAUUUCAGUUUCUAUAUGCUUUAAUUUACUUGUAGUUACUUUUCUUUAUUUUUUCUUUUAUUACAAGCAAUAUUACUAUUCUAAGUUAGAGUAAGAGGAGACGAGAGAGUUUGAAUGUGGGACGUAGUGGGUAAAUGAGGAAAAUCAUAUAUUUACCACUUUGCGAUUAGCUUUCUGUUACUAAUUGUUGGUAGAUUUUAAGAGAGAAAUUGAAGUAUAUAUAAAGCAGCUCGUAGAAGCAUUUGCAGUGAAAGCAAACCUCAGGUUCAACAACACGAAUGUAAAGAUCCAAUACAUCGUUACACCAGACAAUAUGAUCAGCCCAACACUAUUCCUUUUGGGAUGCAAGUACAGCCAAUGAGGAACCCCAAAGUUGCUAUCCGAAUUUAAAUGUGUUAUAUAAAUAAAAAUUUAAAUAAUGAAUAAGAGAUUCUAUCUUUGAUGAAGAUUAGUGUUUGCUAAAAGACAAGCAUAAACCAUUUCCCAAAACAAUAAACUUAUAGUAGGGUGAAUCUAUUACAUUUUACCAGUAAACGAUACUACAAAAGACUAAGCAGUUUGGAGUAAGAUUAUUUUCCUUCCUAUUCUCAUUUUCUUCAUUCCCCUCCUUUCAUAUAUAUUUUUUUUCUUAUUGUUUCUAUAAAAAAAUCAAUACAAAAUAUUGAUGUGGCUUAACCAUAACCGUUCAAAUAGGAUAUGAGAGAAGUACAAAGAGAUUAUGAGGAGAGAAAAUACCUGCUGCAGAAUAGGAACAAAACUAGAAGGAAUAUCGGCUGACUUGGCUAAACUCUGCUUAUGUAAAUGUGGAACAUAUGGUGUAACUUGUAUCAUUGCACCCUGGAAUUGUUGGCCGGCUGCUGGUUGGACAAAAUACGAAAUUAACAAAUAACAAAGAAUGUCACUGGAUAGUGGAUAUGGAAAUUAAAUAAGACGAAAGGGAGGAUUGAGGAGAGGAGAUUCAGUCUUGAGUCUGGGAGAGUCUUCAAAAAAGUGAACUGGGUGAGGUCUGCUUUAAAGCUCGUGAAACACGUUGCUUAAAACUCAAAGCCCGCGUCAUGCAAAAUCAAAUAAACUCAUGCUUAAUUGCUAAAUAACUAUUCUCUAAAUAAAAUAUAAUGUUAAUUAUUGUAACUAAUUCAUGUUGGAAAACUAGGAGUAUAUAAUAUUAACAAGUAUCCCAGAUUACAUAUAUUCAACUACGUGUGAUACCUGAAGUAGCCAUGCUUUUGGUUGGAAAUGCAAUUCUUCUACUUGUUUAAGACCUUAUGUUCCAAAGGUGAUAGAACCCUC